UACGAAGGGGGCGAGCGUUGUUCGGAUUUACUGGGCGUAAAGGGCGCGCAGGCGGCUUAUUUUGUCAGGCGUGAAAGCCCCGGGCUUAACCUGGGAACUGCGUUUGAUACGGAUGGGCUAGAGUUCGGGAGAGGAGAGUGGAAUUCCCAGUGUAGAGGUGAAAUUCGUAGAUAUUGGGAAGAACACCGGUGGCGAAGGCGGCUCUCUGGGACCGAUACUGACGCUGAGGCGCGAAAGCGUGGGGAGCAAACAGG
rnacentral:rRNA from 1 species